rnacentral:tRNA from 1 species
GGUCCGAUAGCUCAGUUGGAUAGAGCAACUGCCUUCUAAGCAGUAGGCCACAGGUUCGAAUCCUGUUCGGACUA